rnacentral:rRNA from 1 species
CCUACGGGCGGCAGCAGUGAGGAAUAUUGGACAAUGGACGAGAGUCUGAACCAGCGAAGUAGCGUGAAGGAUGAAUGCCCUAUGGGUUGUAAACUUCAUUUAUAAAGGAAUAAAACGAGGCACGUGUGCCUUUUUGCAUGUACUUUAUGAAUAAGGAUCGGCUAACUCCGUGCCAGCAGCCGGGGUAAUACGGAGGAUCCGAGCGUUAUCCGGAGUUAUUGGGUUUAAAGGGAGCGUAGAUGGGGUGUUAAGUCAGUUGUGAAAGUUUGCGGCUCAACCGUAAAAUUGCAAUUGAUACUGGCAGUCUUGAGUACAGUUGAGGUAGGCGGAAUUCGUGGUGUAGCGGUGAAAUGCUUAGAUAUCACGAAGAACCCCGAUUGCGAAGGCAGCUUACUAAACUGUGACUGACAUUGAUGCUCGAAAGCGUGGGGAGCAAACAGGAUUAGAUACCCCGGUAGUC